UACGAGGGGGGCGAGCGUUGUUCGGAAUUAUUGGGCGUAAAGGGUGCGUAGGCGGUUUGGUAAGUCUUGUGUGAAAUCUUCGGGCUCAACUCGAAGUCUGCACGAGAAACUGCCGGGCUUGAGUAUGGGAGAGGUGAGUGGAAUUCCCGGUGUAGCGGUGAAAUGCGUAGAUAUCAGGAGGAACACCAGCGGCGAAGGCGGCGCUCUGGGCCGGUACUGACACUGAGGAGCGAAAGCGUGGGGAGCAAACGGG
rnacentral:rRNA from 1 species